rnacentral:rRNA from 1 species
UACAGAGGCCCCGAGCGUUAGGCGGAAUCACUGGGCUUAAAGCGCGUGUAGGUGGAGGGCCAAGUACUUUGUGAAAUCCCACGGCUUAACCGUGGAAUCGCUUGGUAUACUGGCCUUCUUGAGGCACUCAGGGGCGAGCGGAACUGAUGGUGGAGCGGUGAAAUGCGUAGAUAUCAUCAGGAACGCCAGUGGUGAAGACGGCUCGCUGGGGGUGUUCUGACACUGAGACGCGAAAGCCAGGGGAGCGAACGGG